GGAGGGGGCUAGCGUUGUUCGGAUUUACUGGGCGUAAAGGGCGCGUAGGCGGUAUGCCAUGUCAGGGGUGAAAGGCCUGGGCUCAACCCAGGAACUGCCUUUGAAACUGGCAAACUAGAGUCCGAUAGAGGAUGGCGGAAUUCCCAGUGUAGAGGUGAAAUUCGUAGAUAUUGGGAAGAACACCAGUGGCGAAGGCGGCCAUCUGGAUCGGCACUGACGCUGAGGCGCGAAAGCGUGGGGAGCAAACAGGGAUUAGAUACCCUGGUAGUCCACGCCGUAAACGAUGUGUGCUAGACGUUGGGGGGCCUUAGGCCCCUGGGUGUCGCAGCUAACGCGUUAAGCACACCGCCUGGGGAGUACGGCCGCAAGGUUA
rnacentral:rRNA from 1 species